rnacentral:lncRNA from 1 species
UAGUUUGGUACUUCCUCUGCAUAGCAACCAGAAAAUUAUUAGAAGUGAUUCUCACUAUAAAAUCCCAGUCUUUGAUUAUUUAAUAGUUAUAUUCAGCCUAUGAUACUCUCCCUGCUGACCUUAUCAUUUGUUUUAUGAUCAUUUACUCUCUGAAACCUUUAAUACUAAGAAUCAACCUUCAAAAACUGUUUUCUAAAUUCCUGAGUCUAAUUCGUUCUAUUUUAUUUGUAUUCUUUGUAUUCUUAACAGGCCUUAAGAUACUUUCACAAAGCAGAAGAAGGUAAAAUACUUUUACUCCAGCUAUUAAUAUAAUAUUGUCUAAGUGUUUACUAUGUCAUAGAAUAUUUUAAAUCAAGAAUUUGCUGUAUCUUUCACAUUGUAUAAUGUAAAACAAAUUUAAACUAAAAAGAAAAAAAAAAGUAUGUAUUUGGGUAUUCCUCCUGAAUGUAUGUCAGUGUAUGACUGGUGCUCUUGGAGACCAGAAGAAGGCAUCCUCUCAGGACUGGGGUUAACAGACAGUUGUGAGUUGCCAUGUUGGUGCUGGGAAUUCACCCAGGGCUACUGGGAGAGCGUCCAGUAACUUAAAACCGGAUGAGCUCCCUCUCUAGCACCAAAUUUUAACUUUUUAACAAAUAGGAAUUGCACUUACAUUCAGAGUUUCAAUUCUGCAGUGUUCUCUUCAUUUAAUAUAAUUCUUUAUCAGGAAGCUCUGACAAAUUGUUUAACUUGGUAUUUUAUAGUUAAUUAGAAGUACCUAAAUGAAGACUAUUUAAAACCAUGCUAAUUUUUGGUAUGUUGCAGGAUAUUAUAUUCCACUGUAAAAUAAUUUAAUGUUUUUCUUAUUGUGAUAAAAAUGGUUGUUCCUAUAACACUGUUGCUUUCCUGUCCUACAUAUUUCUGGAACCUUUAUAAAAAAAAUACUGACACUGGGGUUAUAACUUGAUGGCACAGUGCUUUGGUGACAUGCACAAGGCCCUCAGGUCAGUCCCAAGGAAAGAAACAUAAUAAGAGACAUGUCUUUGACUACUUGUACCAUAAAAGCCACUCCAAAUACCUUUGAGUUUUUAAAAUCUUUUUUUAAUAGUUGUCAAUAUAUAGCUCAAGCUGGCCCCAAAGUAUUGAUCCUCCUGCCUCAGCAUCCAAACACUGGAAUUAUAGGCAUGUGACACAUGCACAAUUUCUUAUAACAGAAAUCUAAGACACAUUCUUUAUUAAUCUGAGGUCCUAUAUACAUAAACUUAAACAAUUUAGUGAUAACUUUAAAGAACUAUGGUUUAAUGUUAAAUAUGUAACUCAUAAAGUUUUGUUCACUGUUUCCUUUUAUUGAUAUUUUCCCUGAUCAAACUAAUUUAUAUAUCAUGAUAUGAAGUCAUCUCAAGGGGGUUUAAAACUGUAAUUCAGAAGUAAAAUUGGACCUUAGGACAUUUAAGGGUUGGCAGUCCCGAGUAAAGCUGCUAACACUGGGGUUGUUCCUUUGCUCCUAGAGUCAUGUCCUUGGUGGUUCACUCACAUCUGAUUUAUUUAUGAGCAGUCACUUUUCCUAAGUUAAAGAUUGCCCUAGUUCUAGUCCAAAGCCCCUCCCAUAGCCUGUCAUCCACACCUCCCCUAGCAGCCUCCUUAUUCUCGUGUGUGUGUGUGUGUGUGUGUGUGUGUGUGUGAACCUGUACAUGUGGAUAAGGUGGGACGUUUUCCCCCUUUUGGCUCGUGAUUAUAUUUGUAUUGCUUACAUACAGUACUUGGACGACUUCCUAGAUGAAGAAGUGGAUACUUAAAUCAGUGUACUUAACCAUAAAAUGCUUAACGAAAUUAAAGGACUUUGAGUUUUAAGCAAAAAUUGUAUCCAGGAAAAAGUAGGCUUUAUUCUUUUUUAAACUCAUGUGCCAGGCAUGUGUUCUAUUACUAAGUGCCAUUCCUAGCCUCAGAAAGCAUGCUUGGCAUACAGAAAGACCAAGAUUACCAGGAGGAAACUAUGUGAAGAGUCAGGGGAAUGAGAGCUGAGUGUGAUGGUGUGUGUUUGUGGUUAUCAGCACUCAGGAGGCCGAGACACUAUGCCAUUGAGUUUAGUAAGUUCCUGGCUCAUUUGGAGUACACUACAGAAUUCUGUCUCAAGAAAAAAUUAGGAUUAUUUUGAACUUUAUUCAUGUUUCUUCAAAUUAUUUAACAUAUAAUUGUACAUAUUUUUGGAGCACUGGCACUCCAGUAUAUUCAUACAAGAUGUAAACCAAAUCGAAGCAGUCAGCUCUGACUCAGGCAUUCAUCUCUGUCUUGGGAAAGGCUGAAGUCUACAUACAAGUGUUGAGUAAGCUGUCCUAGUUCCCUACUGUGCUGGAUUCUGUGGUUCCCUUAUCCGGCCUUUGUCUCUUCCUCCUCUUCCCAGCUUCUAAUAACACUGUCUACUCUCAAUUUCCUGGGCUUUGUUUGCACUUUUCUUUCAACCAAGAAUAUUCUCAGCUUUUCCUGUUCAAACUCCCGUUCAUCCUCCAAGAUUCGUAACUCUUACUUCGUUGUUUUCUUAUGUGGCUUCUUAUAGCAAUGUUAAGUUUAUACUUGGUAAACCAUUUAGUUGUGUUCAUGUUUUCCUCUGUGCCUAAGUAUAGGAGACAUUUAGCAAAUGAAGAUAAAUCAUGUUAACCAUGAUUUCAUUCAUGCACUAACUCAAUGAACAGAUGUUAUUUUCCCUACACUGUUCUAGGCAAUUGGAAUGUAAUAAUGAUGGGUGGUUUAAAAAGAAAAUAGUUCUUAUAUAGCCCAUGUUCUAUCAGCAUGAAGAUACUUUAAAGUGAGAUCUUGGUAUAAUGAUGUGCACAGUCCAUAUGUACAUUCAAUACAUCACAAUUACUUUAGGGAUUUUUUUGAGAUAAAAACAUUUGAACAAAAAAAGAACUAUAUUAGCCUAAUCAAUGUUUAAUCACACAAUUUUUAUUAGAAUUCAGACCAAAAUAUUAAAACUAUAAAAAUAAAGACACUUAUUUCUCUG